rnacentral:lncRNA from 1 species
AGCUGCUUCCUUUUCUUUUUCCUUCCAUUUCUGCCAGCCGAGCAGCCUCAACAGUCAUUGCAGCUGCUUCUGUGAUGUGUAGCAAAACGCUGCCUGGAGUACUAGAAAGUCUACUGGCUGGAAUCUGCUGGAACCUGUCCAUAACUAGCCUGCCCCAGGUCAUCUAUGAAAUGGGAGUGAUGCUCUGUGGUGGUAAUGAACUGUUUUGGUAGAUUACUAUGUUAGUAGAGAACUGUGUCAACAUACUAUUCUGUGUCUGAAUUUCAGCAAGCAGAUAGAGCCACAGGAUUCCUCUUCUAGACUCACGGUGGGGAAGCAAUAGCAAAGACUCCUCAGGAACUGCAGCAGCAUGCCACUCUAAGUACCAUAGUGGCCUCCUGCUGAGAGUUGUUGCUUUGUUCAGAACUGAAUUCUAGGAGAGGAU